UUCACGAGUCCCAAAUAGGACGAAACGCGCGUCCUGGAU
rnacentral:hammerhead_ribozyme from 1 species